rnacentral:rRNA from 1 species
CAGCAGCCGCGGGAAUACAGAGGGUGCGAGCGUUAAUCGGAUUUACUGGGCGUAAAGCGUGCGUAGGCGGCUUUUUAAGUCGGAUGUGAAAUCCCUGAGCUUAACUUAGGAAUUGCAUUCGAUACUGGGAAGCUAGAGUAUGGGAGAGGAUGGUAGAAUUCCAGGUGUAGCGGUGAAAUGCGUAGAGAUCUGGAGGAAUACCGAUGGCGAAGGCAGCCAUCUGGCCUAAUACUGACGCUGAGGUACGAAAGCAUGGGGAGCAAACAGGAUUAGAGACCCCUGUAGUCCCUGUCUCUUAUAC